UCCUUGGAGAUAUAAAUUUCCAU
rnacentral:snRNA from 1 species